AGAGUUUGAUCCUGGCUCAGGACGAACGCUGGCGGCGUGCUUAACACAUGCAAGUCGAACGGUGAAAGAGGAGCUUGCUCCUCUGGAUCAGUGGCGAACGGGUGAGUAACACGUGAGUAACCUGCCCUUGACUCUGGGAUAAGCGUUGGAAACGACGUCUAAUACCGGAUACGAACCGUGGAGGCAUCUCCUGCGGUUGGAAAGAAUUUCGGUCAAGGAUGGACUCGCGGCCUAUCAGCUAGUUGGUGAGGUAACGGCUCACCAAGGCGACGACGGGUAGCCGGCCUGAGAGGGUGACCGGCCACACUGGGACUGAGACACGGCCCAGACUCCUACGGGAGGCAGCAGUGGGGAAUAUUGCACAAUGGGCGAAAGCCUGAUGCAGCAACGCCGCG
rnacentral:rRNA from 1 species